ACUCAACAAAUUUCAUGGGAUAACCCAGCCCAUGGAAUAUCCUUGUCUAUCCCCCAAGGUAACCAAAGAUCUCUUUGGGAAUUACCAUGCAAGUUUUCUGCAGCUGACCUCAGAUAUCACAUGCUAGUAGAACAAAGAUGGUCUCAGAAUAAAACACACAGCCACGCAUAUCCUCGGCUGAUGAGCACCCAGUGCAACUUAAAUGAUUCUGAGUGUCAUAAGCCUCGUACUAAUUUCUGGGGCUGCAACUAAGCACAUUAUUUGAUAGGUUGUCUCUCAAACUUUACUUCACAGAUGCCACUUCUUUUAAAUAACAGUGGUGUCUGGACCAGUAUUUGCUCGCCUGUGCAACUUAAAUGAUUCUGAGUGUUAUAUGUCUCGUACUAAUUUCUGGGGCUGCGACUAAGCACAUUAUUUGAUAGGUUGUCUCUCAAACUUUACUUCACAGAUGCCACUUCUUUUAAAUAACAGUGGUGUCUGGACCAGUAUUUGCACACCUUGAUUAUUCGACUAGGUACCUGCUACCUCCCAUUAGCAUAGCUACCAGACAACUCUGCCAUCAAUGCUAAGGCGUGGGAUUUGAAUCCCGGUCUGCACCCACUUCAUAGUCUAUAGGUCACACCUUUAGGUGCUAGAUGUAACAUAUUCGUAACGAAAAUACUCUACCUUUAACAAUUUGAUUGACAAGACACUUACGAAGUCAAAGAUUAGAAUGUAAAUUCUGUUUUACUCCAAAUCCUAGUGCUAGAUAUUGAAAGAUGGUAAAAUUUUGACCUCAUGCUUCUUUACACAUGAUACAUAAAAGCGAAAGUAAGAGUUAGCAGUCACAAUUAAGAAAAUGCAAAUACAUCACAGGUAAGUUUGAGAGUUGGGCAAGUAAUUACUGCAAUAAAGCAACUUGAAAUCAAUAUGGAUUCAUAGGAGAGUAGCCAGUAGCCACACAAACACCCAAAAACUCAACGGCUUGAGUUCGAGAAGAUAUUCAAGUAGCAAUGUAUAGGAUAGAUAUUGAUUGAUGGCAGAGAUCUGUCAUUCACAUAUAUUUAGCAACUCAUGGUUACUAGCAUUGCAAUAGUUGGUGAGGUCAAAUGCACUGCUACAAGUAGUUUGAAGUUCAAAGACUGAGAUCUCACUGGAAGUGAUACCAACAAAAUUUCAAAAUAUUCAAGAAACUUUGAUUGAACUACAAUCAACUUUCUUUUUUUCCAGAUGGAAAUUUUUUAGGUGUAUGCUUUACUGCUCAACUUUCUUUUUUUCCAGAUGGAAAUUCAUUAGUUGAAAAUGGAACGCAAGAACAUUCAGUAAAAAGACAGGAAAAGGGAAAUCCUUGCCAGUGAUUAUGUUUUAACCAAUUAUCUUCCCCCACCCCCCAACCCUCCCCAAAACAAAUUCCCACAUCCAUGCAUCAUAAAACCAAACUAAAAGAGAAUUAAUUGAAACAUA
rnacentral:lncRNA from 1 species